GCUGGGGUGGCAGAGCCCGGUAAUUGCAAAAGACCUAAGCUCUUUCUACAGAGGUUCAAGUCCUCUCCUCAGCU
rnacentral:tRNA from 1 species